rnacentral:tRNA from 1 species
GCGGGGAUAGCUCAGUUGGGAGAGCGUUAGACUGAAGAAAAACUUCGGUUUACAAAGACAUCUAAAGGUCGCCGGUUCAAUCCCGGCUCACCGCA